CUGCGUUUUGUGCCAUUCUCUCCCUCUCUCUCAGCAACCAACGUCGAAUCAUUCGCUUCGUCUCUCCGUCUGAUCUCGUCGUCUCUCCGUUCGGGAGACAACGAUUGUUUUCGGGAAAAUCGUCAAAAUCCAAUCCCAGAUUCAGAAAAAAGCCUAAGAACGACGAUUCCAAUCAGAAAUAACAGAAUGGGCGUAAAUAAGGAGACGCGAAGAGACCAAAGCCGAGGAUUCCGAACGAAAGGUUCAAGAAUCUGCGACCUGGGAACGCAAAAGGAGAUACCCCGAUGAGGAAAACGGAAGCCAAAACUUGAAAUUUUGUCGGUAGACGACGAGAAUGGUGGAGGAGAAGAGAGAUUGAGGUGGCAGAGGAUUUCAAUUCCACGAAAGGGAAAGGCGUAGACAUGAAGAUGGUUAAUCCCCUUAUGGCUUGUAAAGUCGUUGCCUUUGAGAUCAUGGUCGAAGAGGAUCACAUUUACAACUUCUGGGUUUUUCUAAUGUUUGGAGUUUGAGGGGUCGAGCACAGCGGCUUUGGCUAAGAGGUUCAUCUGCGAAUCUUGUCUGUGAUUAGUGCUUUAGUUAUAAACUCUGGGAGGAUUGGAUUGGCUUUAGGUUUGAUACCUUCUUUGAAUGGUGGUAUUUUAUCAUCUAAGCAUUUCCUCUUAAUGUGUUAUGUCUUGUCUGCCUUCUGUACUCUGCUGACGUUAUUGGAGUUGUUAAUCUCAGGAGCCUUGGCUUCCAGCCCUGUUCUUCAGGUUAUUACCAGAGACGAAGGAUGAUUAUCCACUUUUGUCAUUUUGGUACUGUUGGGACUUUUGAAAGAGAGGUUGUUUCUUUUCACAUUGUUAAGCUUCUUGAUUUGAAUGGUCAUACUUCUUGGGCUCACUGAAUAGAGAAUAAGCGUUUUAUCUGUUUGCUGCGAGAGAGAAGAACUUUUGGUUGGGAGGAGGACAUGCAAUAUCAUAUAUUGAAUAUUCAACUUUUGCCGGGGUUUAUGUCUUCCUUCCGGGUAUUGUACUUGUUUAUGGCUCUUGAGGAAGCGUCUAGAGAUAUGCUCCCACGACUAAAAGGCAUGGCUUUGAUUCUUUGAAGGUUAAAUCACAGAGGGGGACUCUACAAAGGCAGGACAACGAGGGUGAUGUUGGUGUUCAAUUCAAGGCAGUGAUGACGAGAUGGAGGAGAUUAUGUUGGAUGCUGCUUCUGAUGCUGUUGAAGCUGAAGAAGACGGCUGUGAUUUAGAUGAACUUUAAGCUAUUUCCUAGUGCUGCUGCUGAUGAUGAUGAUAUCGAUACAGGAGACACGGAUGAUGAUAUGAUGAUGAUGAUGAUGAUGACGAUGAAGAUCAUGAUAGUGGUGACAAGAAGAUGAUUAAGAUGAUGAAGACAAACAGCUGGAAAAUCAAAGCCAAGAGAGAACAAGAAGAAUCAGAAGUAAUUCAUGUUCAGUUCAUUGUCUUAAGAUAGCUUGAGCUAGAAGAAACCACAUUGUUUGUCAUGCAAGGUUCGUGUUGAGUAAACCCUACUCCAUUAGGGUUUCUCAGCAACCAUUGCGGCCCUUUAUUUGUUUUUUUUUAGGGUAAAACCUUUAAAAAACUUCCAACUUGUAAAAAUAUAUACAAAUAAACUUUCAACUUGAAAUAUUGUCAUUCAAUCCCCGAACUUGUAACUUGUCACUGAA